UACGAAGGGGGCUAGCGUUGUUCGGAUUUACUGGGCGUAAAGCGCGUGUAGGCGGGCUGGAAAGUUGGGGGUGAAAUCCCGAGGCUCAACCUCGGAACUGCCUCCAAAACUUCCAGCCUGGACCCAAGUAGAGGCAAGUGGAAUACCGAGUGUAGAGGUGAAAUUCGUAGAUAUUCGGUGGAACACCAGUGGCGAAGGCGACUUGCUGGACUUGUGGUGACGCUGAGACGCGAAAGCGUGGGGAGCAAACAGG
rnacentral:rRNA from 1 species